UACGGGGGAGCUUGUGAAGCAGGCUGAGAGGAAGUAAUCAAACUUCGACCCUUAAACCUGAUGCGGAUAAUGCCGCCGUAGGAAGUCAUA
rnacentral:ncRNA from 1 species